rnacentral:lncRNA from 1 species
ACAAACUCGGGGUCAGAGCGGCUGCUCUGGUUUCUCACGUUUUUUCCACCUCAGUGUUUAGUUGUGUUUUAGUUGCGUUUUUCUUGCCAAAACUAUGGAUGAACAACGGGCUGCUGUGGAAAACACAGCGGGAACACGUUUGUUGGUGAAAGUGGAAGCUUUAGAGAAAACGCAUUCAUCUGCUGAUGAGGAGGACAAGCAGCGUCACAUCCAGAGACACGAGCACAAAGGGAUCUUCACGUUUGAUCCCGAGUCAAAAAUGGAGAAUCUCACUACGACGAGGGAAGAUUUUGCUGCUCCUAAAAAGCUGGGGGUGAGGACUCGAGGCAUCAGAGCAGAGCUUCUGGAAAAACAGAUGGCCCAGAUUAGUUGUGAGAAGAUGAAGGCUGACACGUACCCUACGACGCCUGAAAGCGUCUACCGCACC